UACGAAGGGGGCUAGCGUUGCUCGGAAUCACUGGGCGUAAAGCGCACGUAGGCGGAUUGCUAAGUCAGGGGCGAAAUCCUGGAGCUCAACUCCAGAACUGCCUUUGAUACUGGCGAUCUUGAGUCCGGGAGAGGUGAGUGGAACUGCGAGUGUAGAGGUGAAAUUCGUAGAUAUUCGCAAGAACACCAGUGGCGAAGGCGGCUCACUGGCCCGGUACUGACGCUGAGGUGCGAAAGCGUGGGGAGCAAACAGG
rnacentral:rRNA from 1 species